UUUUACAGUGUAAAUAGGUAUUUUAAAUGAAAUAAAAAUUUAAAAUAUGAAAUAAGUUAAAGUUUUGUGAUUGAAAUACAUCUCAGUGCUGCAGCACUUUGUUUUCAGUCUAAUGUUCUAAAGAAUUACAUCCACAUUAAAUGUUUCCAGAGGCCAUGACUUUGCAUCCAAAGCUACUACUGAGUGCCAAUGCAGUUUGGUCUUCAUGCUGAGGGAUGAAUAAGUAACUGCAUCCACACUUUCACCUUUCUCCCUCUCUUUUUUUGCAGAAACUUCAGUUUUCUUCGCCCUAACCAGCUGCCAUGCACAGGAAAUGCACAUUAGAACACACUGGCAGUUUAUAUGGACAGUAAAUACCAUCCAGAAUUUUGCUGAAUCAUGCAAUAUCAAUGCUUCUGACAAGAUUUAAAACAGAAAUUAGGUGAAACCAUUGGGAUAUUAUUAAUCUCGAUGGCUUAACUUAGUAUAUUUGCACAAUAAAGAGUAAAAAUACACUGAAUCACAGGGUUGUAGACACAUUUUCUAGGUUCUGGACGUUUGUCAAAUGCAAAAAAGUGACUUUAUUGUUCAGAAAUAAAGUUAUUUUUUAAUACAUUUUAAAAGUACAAACAAUUCUGAGCCAAUAUUCACUCUAAAAAUGAUCAAAAAUGAAGAUAACACCUUACUUUCAUGCAUGCGUGGACAGUUUCUUAGCAUCUUUAACAACAGAACAGUCUGAUGAAGCACAAAAUGAAAAACUGAGGUCAGAGAGAGCCGCCAACAGUUCUUCUAAAAGUUUAAACUGCUUACAGUAACAGACGCAUUCCUCCUAUAAAAUCUUCCUGAAACAAUACCCUCAACCUUUCAUCAGAUGCGUCGCCUGCGUCAGAAACUAUUUCGCCUUUAAGCCACUCUUCUUCUUCUAUCUGCUCCGCCUGUGGAUCUGCUUUAUCAAUUCUCUUUUUAAACAUCAGCUUUUCAGAAAGCCGUCGGAGGGCAGUUUGAAUAUUUUGAAGUCUUUUUUUUUUUUAUUAUUAUUUAAAGACAGGCCUGAAGCAUCAUCUGCAAUUACACUACUGGAAUGUUUGCAUAUUCAAUAUUCAGAAGGAAAAAAAAGAAAGAACCUGCUGGAUGUGGCUUAAUUUAAGCAGCCUCAUAGGCGACAUGCAAACUCCUCAACAAUGUGCUGCAGAGAGAUACCUUAUUAGGCUUAUUAUCAUUAUUCCUCCUGAUCAGUCUCCUCCACCAGAUUGUUGUCCUUCACCUAACUUUCCUCUUUAUCGUGUAGACACAGACCGAACGCUCUCCACGGACGCCCGUGGCUCUCUGCUUGUGGAAGGAAAAGUUGUGGAAAAAUGUGAAAAAAACUGCGACCACUGAUGCCAGGACAGACUGAGGGAGCUGACAGAUGUGGUGUCGAACCGAAAGGCAAAGAUUGUGUUGAAUUAAUGAGGCCCGGUGAAGAAGAGUGAAAGCCUGCAGUUUACCGGAGACCUGAAUAAAGGCGACAGCCAGGAAGGCCAGCCCUGAGCUUUAUAGACGGCUGCUUUGAUCAGAAAAGGCUGCUUCACCUUCAUCUCCUCCUGGACGAUGCUGAUGAUGCUGGAGACGGAGAAGAAGGAGGGGAAAUGGAGCAGAUGGAGUCCCAGUGGCCACCCAGUCCCGGAUUAUUCAGCUCAGCCAAGGGAAUGGAAAGGCGGAGGGGGCCC